rnacentral:rRNA from 1 species
CACGGUAGGGCGCAAGCGUUGUCCGGAAUUAUUGGGCGUAAAGAGCUCGUAGGCGGUCCGUCACGUCCGCCUGUGAAAACCCCAGGGCUCAACCCUGGGCUUGGCAGUGGAUACGGGCAGACUAGAGGUAGGUAGGGGAGAAUGGAAUUCCCGGUGUAGCGGUGAAAUGCGCAGAUAUCGGGAGGAACACCGGUGGCGAAGGCGGUUCUCUGGGCCUUACCUGACGCUGAGGAGCGAAAGCGUGGGGAGCGAACAGG